CAAGGGCAAGAGAUGCUGUAUUAAAUGCCACCCAGUCACCUUUACUGGAUAUUGGUAUAGAGAGGGCUACUGGAAUUGUUUGGGACAUAACUGGUGGGACUGAUCUGACCUUGUUUGAGAACCAAUGGGUGCAGGGAGGGUCUGAGCACAGUGAAGUGAGGAAGGAGUAAAAUCACGAGGUUGAUAAGGAUAAAAGAGUAUCCCACUAAGUUUCUGAGUUUCAUCCCUCUUUUGUCGCCACAUAGAACAACAUCCACGUCCCAAUUAAUGCUUGUAGCUGAAGUUCUUGAGAGGUGCUGAAAUUGGUUAGGCAAUAACAAAAAACACAUUCCUCUGCUUUCAUUUACUGGAAGUUCAAAGUCAUGCCAAAGGUGAAGCGUUUUAGAAAUCCACAAAAAUCAGCACCUCAACCACAAUGUCCCUCACCAUGUGAUUCCACACAAGCUCCUGAAGUCCCAACUGGUAAUGUCCCUCUUUCUCAUGAAUCAACAUCUGAAGUUCCAGCAAUGAAUCCUGAAAUUUCUUCCCCACCAAGUGAUUCCACACAAGCUCCUGAAGUCCCAACUCGUAAUGUCCCUCUUUCUCAUGUAUCAACAUCUGAAGUUCCACAAGAAGAUGAAACAACUAGACGUCAUGUUGGGCGUGAGUCUACACACUGUUGGACU